CCCGCCACUAAGCCCGUCUGACCGGUGACGGAGUUUAAUCCAGUGGAGGCUCAGAUGGACCCAGCUUUAGGAAACAGAGCUGCUCAGAUCAGUGGACAACUCUGUGCCAAAAGUCUGGAACAUUC
ensembl:snoRNA SNORA65 small nucleolar RNA, H/ACA box 65